AAAGGAUAAGAAGAGUAGGUAGUAAGAGAGAAAGAGUUAUCAGAAAGAAAGAAAAGAAGAAAUGGAAGAGUAGAGAAGAGGAAAAGAUAAGAAAGAAGAAGAGAGAAAUAAGGAAGAAAGGCUUGGAGGAGAAAAGAAAAAGCUCAUCAUCACCAUUUUCUACUCAUCAUCCUCACCAACUUCAUCUUCUUCUUCUACUAGAACAUUGUUGUUGAGGUUGUUCAGAACAUGUGUUUAUGAGGUUGAGGAAUCCUUGAGUGUUGGUUGCUGAUGGUUUAAUUUUAUCUACUUUUUCAAAAGACAUUCUAAAGGCGGAAUUGAAUGCAGUACACUCAGACUUUUAUGAAAGACAAAAUGAUUCGGCAUAUAUUCUUAAUCAAUUUAGAUGCCACUCAUCAAAACAAGGCCUCCAAUAUAAUAAAGUGUUUUU